AUACGGAGGGUGCGAGCGUUAAUCGGAAUUACUGGGCGUAAAGCGCGCGUAGGCGGAUAAUUAAGUCAGAUGUGAAAUCCCCGGGCUCAACCUGGGAACUGCAUUUGAUACUGAUUAACUAGAGUAUGGUAGAGGUGAGUGGAAUUUCCGGUGUAGCGGUGAAAUGCGGAGAGCUCGGAAGGAACACCAGUGGCGAAGGCGACUCACUGGGCCAUUACUGACGCUGAGGUGCGAAAGCGUGGGUAGCAAACAGGAUUAGAAACCCUAGUAGUCC
rnacentral:rRNA from 1 species